GCCAUGCCGAGUGGACCAAACUGGACUCCACCCCCCACUAAGCGAAUUAAAAGAAAUUAGGCACUGGCUUCUCACCAUGAAGGCUUAAGUUCAGUUUCGGAUAAUUUCACAUGAGAUUGGUGGACAAAGUGGCACUAGAGCUCCAGUUCUUCCCUGCUAAUUCUCACUCUGCCAUUGCUCCAUAUUCAUGUAUUCCCCCCCAAACCAGGCAGCACAUUAUCAUGUGCUGUGUCUGACCUGGUGCUUCAUCUCAGUCCUGGCUCUUGGCUGACUGCAGGGUGAGAAAGUGAAUGUUAUUGUGCACUUUAAUGGCAAUAGAAUUGCUAAUUGAAAUGUACUCAUUUCAUGGCUUUUUCUAUUUCCUAAAUUUCGUGUGAUAUUUAUGGCCUAUUAAAAUACACCAAUAGGAAACUGCACAUUUUUAUUUGUGUUGUAGAUAUUAGUGUAGUGGUUACCUGAUGACUCAUGAAACUCGAUAUUCUUUUAAUAAUGUGCUCUUAGUAUCUUCAUUUUUCAAUUUUGUAUCAUAGUUUGAAUUAUGAAUUAGUAUAUCUUCUCAGAAUAUUAAUGCUGUCAUAUAGAAACGUGGGAGUCUUUUAAUGUACACAUGCAGUCAGAAUUCCAUCACAUAACAAGAUAUCUUAUGGCACAGUUGAUGGAUCUGUUCAGGUAAUAGAUUAUUAAUGUUGCUGUUACAAUAUGUGCCCUGAUUUCUUGAAUGUGUACUGGACCCCUGAUCUGAUUCAUAUGAAAACCUCAAAAUAAUUGUUAUGUACUCAUACGAAUUUGUAUUACACAGUUGUAUGAGGAAUUAAUUUUUAAUGCUCUGUUUCUAACAAUGUACUUGCUAGUUGAUAAAUCUCUGAUAAAAGUUAGUGAGACUGUUUUCUGGCUUGGAGCAGUCUUAUCUGUGCUGUCAUCCAAUGAUCAAAAAGGUGAGGCAAUAAAGUUUGCGCAUAUGUACUAUGCAAGCUGAAAAGAUGGCAUUGAUUUUUGGGUGGCUGUUACCAUUGUAGUUGGUACGCUGAAUGUUAUUGCCUCCCUGUAUGAACAGUGGAUUGGUCGAAGUCAGUGAGUUCUGUCUGCCAUUUACCUCACCUUUUCUUAAGUGGAUGAUGGUAUAACAGUUAUUACAGAGAUUGAUUUUUGCUUCUCAGUAAUAGUACCGUUUGACUUAAUGGUUUCUUAACUGCCACACCAUGUUUUCACUUAACUUGUAAUUUACAUUAUUCAUAAUUUCGGUAAGACCUACUGUAAGAAGAUUUGUAGUUGCAGUUGCACAAUUGGGCAUUACACUCAAGUUUCAAGAAAGUGCCUCAAAUUCUGGGGCACUAAAAUUGGUUUUUAUGUGAUGGUUUGGGGCUAAUAUUGUAUUAUAUGGCAAGAACGAGUUUGUGUGAGGGAAAUGGAGGUAUGUUUCAGUGCCACAGAAUGUACGAAUGCUGUAGGCCAAAUCAGAAGGUUAAGUAGAAACUGCGAAUCUCAGCGUCUUGACAGUCACCAGAGUGGGACUUAUAGAAAUUUUGAAAACUAAACAGAGAUGGAUGCACAGGCAGUAUACUGCCAUUUAUUUUCAUGAACAUAUUCUUUUUUUGAAUUCUAUUUUUGUUUUCCCAGUUUUGGCUGCAGUCUCUCAUCCAAGCUGACCUGACUCACUCCCUUAUGCAGUGGGUAGUAGGGUGUGUUUGUUAGAUAAGGUGGAUGGAGCAUGAAACUGGCCUCGUUUAAUAUAAAGGUCUUAGACUGUGUGGAUCUUUACCUCCAUGCCCUCCACCGUUCUUUUAUGAUGUUAUUGGUUACUGGUCCACACUUUGUCAUCCAUUCAGCCAGUACUACUCUGCUGUACCCAUUCAGCUAGAGGGGGAUUUAAUGCAUACUCACCCUUAACCAUAUCCUGUAUUGCAGCUUUGCUGAGAUUACAACUAUGACUCUAUGGAGGCCACAGAAGGAAAUCCCACAGGUCGAUCCCCUCCAUACCUUGGUCAAGUGGUUAUGCUUCCUUCUUCAGUAAUAUUACCAUUCUGUUUACAGGACUGUUGGUAAUAAUAUUUGUUCCUGACAUGCACUUUAGACUGGUUGACAUAAGCCAGAGGGAGCUGGGGGAGAAAUACAACAGCAGACAGAGAGGGAGAGAAGUCUCACACACCACACCAUUCAAGUGCUUCGUACUGUAUGCUCGAGAGUCAGGGCACCGGGAUGCAGUCUGUAAGAAAGGAGUGCCUACCAUCCACAAGCUUGUGUCGUCCCAUGGCUGCUGGUCACCUUAAAGUGUUGAAUGUUAAUAGAGUAUUUUGUGUUUGUAGGUCUCAGGUGUUAAGAUUUAUCAUUAUUUUAAUUUCUUUGAUGGUAAUUCCAUAGUGUGUUUAGUGAGUGUGCACGAUGGAUAACUUGACGACUCAGAGCUAAGUAACCAAAGUUUGAUCAUUACCACUGACCUGCAGUAUAAUUUUAUUUCUAGUCAUAAUUCGUUUUAUUUUAAGGUGGCUGAAAAUGUCAGAUCUGUAAGGAUUUUUUUUUAAUAUGUGGUUGAGUUUUCAUGUCAGACUGGGAGAAAACUCAGGAAAAUUGUGUACAUAAUUUAUUAAAUUUGUGAAAGUAUGGCCAUACCAUACACCAUGAAUUUAAAAAGAUGAACUUACUGAUUUUGUAACAUAGUCAUAUGGAACUCAUCCUUUUUUUUUUUUGGCUUGGUUUGCCUUCAGUCUACAAUUGUGAGUAUAAUGGUUUGAAAUGGCCCCAUUUACACAGGCCAUUUUGUUACUGACAAUAUAAUUGCUGUGUUUUGGUUUAUUGAUCACUACAGUGUAUCUUCUAAAUAAAAUAAUAGUUAAAAAAGA